CCUAGAGCUUGUGCUGUGCAGGAUCCUGGCCAGGACUUGCAAGUGAGCCUGGAGGGACUUUGCAAACUCCACACUGAAUGAGGCAGAGUCUAAGGACGACAUCAGCAAUAGUGAGUAGCUCAUUUAGAUCUCUUUGUGUUUUCAAAUAUUUACUGACUGACUGCCAUACGCCACUCACUGUGUGGAGAAGAAACUGAGGACUGCCUGAGCAGCAUCUUGGGCUGGGAGAAGCGCUGAGGGGCCAUUCUCCAGUGGUGGUGCCAGGCUCCUCGUUGCAGGGACGUCUCUUGUUGUGGAGCCACACAGCUGGGAUGCAGACAAGGGAACCCAGCACGUCCCCACCCUCCCACUGCAGGGCCCCUGACAGCAGCCUCCUGUCCUCUGCUGAGGACCCGGGGUCUGACUCGGGGGCUCAGUGAACACUCCCCGAAACAGUGCACUUGGGAAGUGGCCUACUGUGUUAUGGUAAAGACAGUGAGUUUCACCAGAAGGCACCCCAAACACUGAGUCUUGCAGAAUUUGCUUUGCUCUAACAACAGAACUGUGGAAAUGUGUCAGUUUGAAAGUUGGUUUCUUUGGGGGACAAGGCAGCGCAGCCCUGAAGCACUCAUGCCAUACCUCACAUGGCCAUCAGAGGGCGGUGUGUAGCGGCUUAUGACCAACACGGCUCCAUUCCAAACGGGAUCCUUUUCAAGCGAGCCUUCCUCGGAACACGUUUUAGAAACUUACAGGAUUUCUUACAUUUACUUGCUUUUCUUCUCCAGUCUCCUUUGGAAACUAGUGAAAAUCCACUACAAGUAAUAAAUGUAAGUAGAGCCAGUGGACGUUGUCCCUCGUGAUAACAUUGUAAGCAUUUAAAAUUGUGUGUCCAAACCGCACCCCCAUCUGUGUGUGUAAAACAUCUCGACGUAAGUGAUGUGUUAGAGACAUUUUUCAAUCGUGUUGCUCCUUCUUUGUGAUAUGAAUCUUUGGGUGGCAAGUGGUCUGCUCGUAAGACAGUGGGAAUGUCCCUGAUGCCCUAGGAGACAAAAUGGGAGUCGUUUCGUCAGUAGGUCUCAGUGGGAGCUGGUAAAGGGGGCAGAUCUCCUGCUCAGCACAGCCAAGGUCGGGUCCGCACUGUCUCCUGUCCCCAAAACGCUGAGUCUGCUUCCCACCGCAGGAACUUUGCUAAAAUCCUGUGUAUUCUGAAGGAGCAUCAUGGUCAGAAGACUGAACAAUGGUUAUAAUGAUUGGGGGGGAGAGAUAAGAUUAUGUAUUUUCAGUUCUUUAUUUUGAGUUAACGUUUGUAAACAGUGUUUGCAGGGGUCGAGCCUCAUUCCUUUCAACAUGGAUGUUACAUUCCCCCAGCACAUUUUGUGGACUGUUCUGUCUCUCCCCCAUUGAAUUAUCUGCCACUCUUGUCAAAAAUCAUUGACCACAUAUGUGAAGGCUUGUUUCUGGGUUCUGAAUGCUAUUCCGCUGAGCGAUAAUGCUGUCUUUAUGCCAGUACCAAACUAUUUUGGUUAUUGUAUUUGUGCGAUGUUUUGAAACUGGGAAGUGUGUGUCCUCUCAACAUGGUUUUUCUUCCUUAACAUUACUUGACUAUUUGGGGGUCUGUUAGGAGUAAAGUAUUUUAGGAUAGGCUUUUUGAUUUAGGAUGGAGUUUUGAAGGGAUUGCAUCAAAUUAUCAAUUACAAUGGGUAGUAUUGAGAUCUUAGCAGUAAAUUGUCCAAACGGUGAAAAUGCGGUUUGUCUCAUAUAAUCUCUUAACAAGUUAGGCAAGCUUGCCUUGCAGUCUUCACCUCCUUGGUUAAGUUAAUUACUAAGUAGUUUAUUCUUUCUGACAUAUUUGUAAAUAAAAGUGUCUUAAUUUCCUUUCCAAGUCUAUCAUAUUUGCAUAUAGAAAUGCAAAUGAUAUCCAGUGUUGACUUUCAUAUUAUUUGCUGAAUUAUUAUUUAUAACAUUAUUUUUGUGACUUCCUUAGGAUUUCUAAAUAGAUCAUGUCAUGUGUGAACAGAGAUAAUUCUACUACUUUUAAAAUUUGAAUGUAAGUGAUUUAUUCAUUGAUUCUGUUAUUGAUGUGUUUCCUAAGUGCAGUGGCUAAAACUGCCACUUUUACAUUGCUUAAAAGUGGUAAAACAGCAUGCUUACAUGUUUCCUGAUCUCAGAAGAAAAGUUUUCAGUCUCUCACCACUGACUGUGAGGUCGGCUGCAUGUAUUCUAUACAUGGCAUUGAUUACGUUGAUUACCUUCAAAACUAGUGUGUUGAGUGUUCUUUUUUUAAUCAUGAAAGUAUUCUUGAACUUCUUCAAUUGCUUUCUAAGCAUUAAUUGUGGUGAUCCUGAUUUUUUUUCCUUCAUUCUGUUAAUGUGAUGUAUCACACCAAUGCAUUUUCCUAGGUUGGUGCGUCCUCUCAAUCCAGAAAUAAAUUUCACUUGUUCAUGA